AGUUGUUCCCUCUUGUGAGGACAUGCUUCCUUAUAUCCCCAUAUUAAUACACCACUUAUGGAAUGUAAGGAAGUGUGUGGUUUCAAGAGGACUUGAGCAU
ensembl:miRNA mir206 microRNA mir-206